UUUCUAGGGAUAUGGGCAUUCCGUCUCUUAUGGGGGAGUGGGGUCAGUUAUGAUUUUAUUUUAUUUAUAAGGAAGGAAGACUGAAAGAGAGAGGGAGACCUUUUUUGUUGAGAGCAUAUUAAAAGUAGUGUUAAGGGGAAAGAGAGUGGUAUCAUUCUAAGAAAUUUUGAAACUAAGAAACUAAUUGUGGAGAAAGUGACUGGAGCAGUAAAAAGGCGAAGGAAAUACCGCUUUGCAAUCAGAUUAAUCACCAUCCAAUUUCCAAGUACAAUGGUAACAAGUUUCAUGAACAUGAAGAGGUAUAUGACAAUCAUGAUAAUCAUUGGUGGAGGACACAUAGUGAUAGCAACCCGCCAAUGCCAUAUUUACUUAUGGGCUUAAAUGACCAUUUCUUUAUUUUACUGUAUUAAAUAAGUGGGGGUCUUAUGUCCCACCUUUUAUUUUUAAGUCAUGUUUUUUAUUUUACUUAGGCCAUAGGUUAAUUUCGGUUUUAAGCAUUAUAAGGGACUUACUAAAGCUUGCAAGCAAGGACUAAGUCAAGGAGUUGUGACCAUCAUGCAUGCAAGGCCAAGCCAUGCACGUGAAUAAUUUUGGUGCAUGUCAACUUUGAAUGCUCACAUUUAAUGGCCACCUCCCACAUUUAAUGAAGCCAUGAGGAUUACAAAACCUUUUUAAUGGGUGAUUUAAAUUCGUGGUCCCCCAAGGAUGAAUAAGGUGGCUACCUUAAAGGAUGUAUGGAAACAAGCAUAUGCUUUAUUAAAGCCUCGGAUUCAAGGAACAUUUUGGUGACUAAUAUUAAAUGGGCACGUGGGGACUACUUUGGGACCCUUAAUGAGGCGUGAAGAUUACAAGGUUUUGAU